UUUAGUAUUAGUUAUUUUCUUGAAAAUUAAAGAUUUUGGCGGUAUUUUAUUCUGUUCAAAGGAACCUGCUCUGUCAUUGAUAGUCCACAAUUAACUUUACUUGAAUAGUUUGUAUAUCGUCGUUUUUGAAUAUUUUAUAAGGAUUUGAAUGUUCAAUUAUUUAAGUAAAAAUUUAAGUCAAAUCAGGGUGCACCUUAUACUUAAAAAAAAUGGGGUUACAAUAAAUAUAUUUAAAUGGUUUAUAAUUUGAAAUCAUUAUAAUAAAGUGGGAGGGUAAUAUUUUUAAUUAAAUAAUAUGAUUUUACCUCUAAAAUAUG
rnacentral:rRNA from 1 species